UACAGAGGUCCCGAGCGUUGUUCGGAUUCAUUGGGCGUAAAGGGUGCGUAGGUGGCGCUGUAAGUGGGGUGUGAAAUCCCGGGGCUUAACCCGGGACUGCAUUCCAUACUGCGGUGCUUGAGGACUGGAGAGGAGACUGGAAUUUACGGUGUAGCAGUGAAAUGCGUAGAGAUCGUAAGGAAGACCAGUGGCGAAGGCGGGU
rnacentral:rRNA from 1 species